rnacentral:rRNA from 1 species
GAUUUCUUGGGGUUCCCUGGGGAUUCUUGAUUGGAGCUGAGCUAACCAUAGCCCAAAGUCGUAUCUCCUUGGUUAAUAAGAUCCAAAAGGUUUAUCGAUCCCAAGGGGUACAGAUCCAUAAUAGACAUAUAGAGAUUAUUAUACGCCAAGUAACAUCAAAAGUAAGGGUUUCCGAAGAUGGAAUGUCUAAUGUUUUUUUACCUGGGGAAUUAAUAGGACUAUUGCGAGCGGAACGAGCAGGGCGGGCUUUAGAUGAAUCGAUCUAUUAUCGGGCAAUCUUAUUGGGAAUAACAAGGGCUUCCCUGAAUACCCAAAGUGUCAUAUCUGAAGCAAGUGUUCAAGAAACUGCUCGAGCUCUCAGAAAAGCUGCCCUACGAGGUCGUAUUGAUUGGGUUGACAGGCCUGAAAGAAAACCGUAGUUCUGGGGGGGAUUAUACCUGUUGGUACCGGAUUCCAAAAAUUUGCUGCAUCGUUCCCCACAAGACAAGAACCUUUAUUUCGAAAUUCAAAAAAAAAAUCUAUUCGCGUCGGAAAUGAGAGAUAUUUUGUUUCUCCAUACAGAAUUAGUUUCUCCUGAUUCUGACGUAACAAACAAUUUCUAUGAAACAUCAGAGACCCCGUUUACCCCUAUUUAUACGAUUUAAGUAUACAUAAAGCAAUUUUUUUUACUUUAAUUUAAACUAUACUUUUGACCUUAGGAUGCUAACGGGUCUUAUUUUCCGAUUUUGUAUUUGACUUUGACUUGUAUUUGACUUAUAUUUGAAUAAGUAAAAGAAGUCAGUUAAUUCAUUCAAGGCUAUGUUUAUACCGUGUAUCAAUGGUCAAUUAUGAGUAGAAGGUUCCAUCGGAACAAUUAUUAUUUAUUUCAAGCUAUUUCGGCUCUUUCUUAAUCUUCAAAAAGAAAUUAAUUCCGUAACGGUAAGACGAAAAAAGAAAAAAUAAAAAGGAAGUGUGGAAAAA